rnacentral:hammerhead_ribozyme from 1 species
GCUGACGAGUCCCAAAACAGGACGAAACAGCUGUCC